UCACACGAUUAACUAUAAGCAGCUUCCGGAACAAGCCUUUUCCAUCUGACCCCCUACAAACGCUUCCCUCUUUUUCCCUCCAAUGCAUUAUUAUAAAAACACACACACACACAAUUAAUACAACCUUCUCCACCUCCGGUCGUUAACAUUUGUCAUGAUAUUAUAAUUGACGAGGUUGAAACUUUCUAGUUUCUCAUAAAGCUCCAAAUUUUAUCUGAACAAAUACCUACAAAAGUCGUACCAACACGACUCAUAAGUCUAGAUAUAAUUAUGACUAUUAUUGUAGUCAAUAAGGUUGAAACUUCCUAGUUUCUCAGAAAACACGACUCUUCAUCUGAACAGUAUCUACACAACUCAUAAGUUUGAGUAUAGUGAGGUUGAAACUUCCUAGUUUCUCAGAAAACCUGACUUUUCAUCUGAACAGGUACCUACACAACUCACAAGUCUAUAUAUAAUCAUGACUAUUAUUGUUGUCAACAAGGUUGAAACUUCCUAAUUUCUCAGAAAACGUGACUCUUUAUGUGAACAGGUACCUAUAUAACUAAUAGGUUUGUAUAAAGUGAGGUUGAAACUUGAAACUUCCUAGUUUCUCAGAAAGCUCGACUCUUCAUCUAAGCAGGCAUCUACCCAACUCAUAAGUCUGUUUAUAGUUACGACCGUUGUUAUAGUAAACUGUUUUUAGGAGAUAUUGACGUGUCAUCUGCACAGGUACCUACAUUGUUAUACGAAUAUGGUGAAGAGUGAUAAUAAAGUGGUGGAAUUAGCUAAAGGAUGCAAGACACCAACACAUGAUAAAUGUAGAAUUAAGGUGAAUUUUAUGUGUCCACCACCAACACCAAGGAAGAAAAGAAUGUAUAAUGUGAAGAGUGCUCCACCCAAAGAGGGGUAUUUUGAGGUGCCUGAUAUUGAGGUUUUCUUACCUCUUUAUAAACCAAGGAGGUAGACUUAGUGUUUCUGUCGGAAACAGUCUCUCUAUCUAUUUUUACAGUUGUUAUUGGUUCUAUAGCUUUGCUAGGUGAAGAUAUAUAAAAGAAUGGUAUUUUGGUUUGUUUUUUGAUGUAUCCUAGAUUUUGUACAACGUAGAAUUGGUUAAAAACCAUGGGGAGGAGCAUUAUUGAUUAUGUCAAGUUUAUAAAUGCAUUUUUAGGUAAUGAGGUCUUACCCAAGUUCUUUUAAGAAAAAAUGUGUUCUUUUUAAAUAAAAAAUUAUUAUACACUUUAUUUUUUUGGCCC